rnacentral:rRNA from 1 species
GAUCAACGCUGGCGGCGUGCCUAAUGCAUGCAAGCCGAGCGGGGUGGUCUUCGGAGCACUUACGCGGCGGACGGGUGCGUAACACGUGGGCAAUCUGCCCUGGGGUGGGGGAUAGCCGUGGGAAGCCGCGGGUAAUUCCGCCUACGUUCGGUGGUCGGCAGGACCGCCGAAGAAAGGGUCUUUUAGACUCGCCCUGGGAGGAGCCUGCGGCCGAUUAGCUAGACGGUGGGGUCACGGCCUACCGUGGCGAUGAUCGGUAGCUGGUCUGAGAGGACGGCCAGCCACACGGGGACUGAGACACGGCCCCGACUCCUACGGGAGGCAGCAGCAAGGAAUCUUCCGUAAUGGGCGCAAGCCUGACGGAGCAACGCCGCGUGCGGGAUGACGCCUUUCGGGU